rnacentral:rRNA from 1 species
AACGAACGCUGGCGGCAUGCCUAACACAUGCAAGUCGAACGAGACCUUCGGGUCUAGUGGCGCACGUGUGCGUAACGCGUGGGAACCUGCCCUUAGGUUCGGAAUAACUCCCCGAAAGGGGUGCUAAUACCGGAUAAUGUCUUCGGACCAAAGAUUUAUCGCCUUUGGAUGGGCCCGCGUUGGAUUAGCUAGUUGGUAGUGUAAAAGCCUACCAAGGCGACGAUCCAUAGCUGGUCUGAGAGGAGGCUCAGCCACACUGGGACUGAGACACGGCCCAGACCCCUACGGGAGGCAGCAGUGGGGAAUAUUGGACAAUGGAGGCAAGCCUGAUACAGCAAUGCCGCGUGAGUGAUGAAGGCCGUAGGGUUGUAAAGCUCUUUUACCCGGGAUGAUAAUGACAGUACCGGGAGAAUAAGCUCCGGCUAACUCCGUG